GACGAACGCUGGCGGCGUGCUUAACACAUGCAAGUCGAACGGAAAGGCCCUGCUUUUGUGGGGUGCUCGAGUGGCGAACGGGUGAGUAACACGUGAGUAACCUGCCCUUGACUUUGGGAUAACUUCAGGAAACUGGGGCUAAUACCGGAUAGGAGCUCCUGCUGCAUGGUGGGGGUUGGAAAGUUUCGGCGGUUGGGGAUGGACUCGCGGCUUAUCAGCUUGUUGGUGGGGUAGUGGCUUACCAAGGCUUUGACGGGUAGCCGGCCUGAGAGGGUGACCGGCCACAAUGGGACUGAGGAUCGGCCCAGAAUCCUACGGGAGGCAGCAGGGGGGAAUUUUGCCCCAUGGGCCGAAACCUUAAGCAACAACGGCGGGGUCGGGAAGACGGGCUUCGGGUUGUAAACCGCUUUCGCCUGUGACGAAGCGUGAGUGACGGUAAUGGGUAAAGAAGCACCGGCUAACUACGUG
rnacentral:rRNA from 1 species